AGAGUUUGAUCAUGGCUCAGAUUGAACGCUGGCGGCAGGCUUAACACAUGCAAGUCGAGUGGUAACAGGGGUAGCUUGCUACCCGCUGACGAGCGGCGGACGGGUGAGUAACGCGUAGAAAUCUGCCUAGUAGUGGGGGAUAGCCCAGAGAAAUUUGGAUUAAUACCGCAUACGCCCUACGGGGGAAAGAAGGGGACCUUCGGGCCUUUUGCUAUUAGAUGAGUCUGCGUCGGAUUAGCUAGUUGGUGGGGUAAUGGCCUACCAAGGCGACGAUCCGUAGCUGGUCUGAGAGGAUGAUCAGCCACACUGGGACUGAGACACGGCCCAGACUCCUACGGGAGGCAGCAGUGGGGAAUAUUGCACAAUGGGCGCAAGCCUGAUGCAGCCAUGCCGCGUGUGUGAAGAAGGCCUUAGGGUUGUAAAGCACUUUCAGCAGUGAGGAAAGGAAUGUAGUUAAUAACUGCAUUCUGUGACGUUAACUGCAGAAGAAGGACCGGCUAACUCCGUGCCAGCAGCCGCGGUAAU
rnacentral:rRNA from 1 species